rnacentral:lncRNA from 1 species
AGCCCUAUCGCACAGCUUGCUCCAAGUUUCAAAAUUACCUUCUGUCCCUCCUGGACUUGGGACCAUUAUUUUUCCUUCAGAUAUGCCAGUCAGCAACCACAGAUGGCCUCCCCAAUUACCAGACUCACUCAGACAUUGCUGCCUUCUCCAGCCUCUUUAAACUUUAAAGGCCAGCAGAGAAUGCUAUGUUUCAGGAUGGUGAUUGGUGGUUUUCACUUUGGACCAUAAGCAUCCGUAUUGUGGUAAGAGUGUUGGGUUGAGUGACUCAGUGCUGUGCCUGCUUUCUCCACCUGAGUGCUACUGAUGAUGGGUCUGGGGGAGCAGCAUGAGCAUUAACAGGGGACUUACUAAAAAUAGGAAGAAUAGGAAGAUACAGACAAAUAUUUCUUAUUUGUCUCACGUGUAUGAGGAAUCUAAAAGGUUGAACUCCUAGACGCAGGGAGUACAAAGGUGGAUACCAGAGCCAAGAGGUAGGGAAAAUGGAAGAUGUUGUUUAAAGGGUACAAACUUUUAGUUAUAAAUAAGGUUCGUGAAUCUAAUAUAUAGCAUCAUGAUUAUAGUAGAUAAUAAUGUUUUUGUAUACUUGAUACAAUAAAGGAAACUAUGUAAGAUGAUACAUGUAUUCAUUAACUUCAUUGAAUUAAUUAUUUCACAACUGGCGUGAGCCACCAAGCCUGGCUGAAUAUUUCUUAUAUGAAGAAGUUAUGGUCGGUUAGAAGGUAUGCCUCAAAUUUUAAUGUGUAAAACAAUGAACUGGAGAUCUUGUUAAAAUGCAGGUUUUGAUUCAGAAGAUCUGGGCUCAAGCCUGAGUUUCUGAAUUUCUAAUAAGCUACCCAGUGAUGCCGAUGCUUUUGGCCCAAGGAGAAUAUCCUGUCAAAUAUUAAGUACAUGGCAGAGCCUGGGUUUAUCCCAGUACACAAAGGUGAGAACUUCCAUUUUCUAAAGCAAGCCAUAAGCAAGGAGAAUUUGAAAAGAAUUGGGAGACUCCAGAUUACAUGUGAUGAUUUAUGAACAUCAGUUGGUAAAUCUCCUAAAGUUACUUAUUAAUAAUAAAGAGAAAAAUCAUUAACUCUACAGUUAAAAAAAUCUGUCAGCACCUUAUCCAACAGAAUAAAAUUAACAUGAACUGUAAUAGAAAGAAUUGGUAUAAGUGCUAAUGCACACAGAGGGCAC